UUCAAUAUUGACUAAUAGUAAUAGCUACAAUGAAGUAUAAGGUGCAGAAAACUAACAACCGGGUGGUAUGUAAAUAAUAGUUCCAAGUGGUUUAAAUUUGGACAAAAAAUUAGACCGUAGUUUGAAGCUGC
rnacentral:sRNA from 1 species